CCUACGUGAGGCAGCAGUGAGGAAUAUUGGUCAAUGGACGCGAGUCUGAACCAGCCAAGUAGCGUGAAGGAUGACUGCCCUAUGGGUUGUAAACUUCUUUUAUAAAGGAAUAAAACGAGGCACGUGUGCCUUUUUUCAUGUACUUUAUGAAUAAGGAUCGGCUAACUCCGUGCCAGCAGCCGCGGGAAUACGGAGGAUCCGAGCUUUAUCCGGAUUUAUUGGGUUUAAAGGGAGCGUAGAUGGGUUGUUAAGUCAGUUGGGAAAGUUUGCGGCUCAACCGUAAAAUUGCAAUUGAGACUGGCAGUCUUGAGUACAGUUGAGGUAGGCGGAAUUCGUGGUGUAGCGGUGAAAUGCUUAGAUAUCACGAAGAACCCCGAUUGCGAAGGCAGCUUACUAAACUGUGACUGACAUUGAUGCACGAAAGUGUGGGUAUCAAACAGGAUUAGAUACCCCAGUAGUC
rnacentral:rRNA from 1 species